UACGAAGGAUGCAAGCGUUAUCCGGAUUUAUUGGGUUUAAAGGGAGCGUAGGCGGUUCUGUAAGUCAGUGGUGAAAUACGGCAGCUCAACUGUCGAGGUGCCAUUGAUACUGCGGAACUUGAGUACUGAUGAGGUAGGCGGAAUUGACGGUGUAGCGGUGAAAUGCUUAGAUAUCGUCAAGAACACCGAUAGCGAAGGCAGCUUACCAAGCAGUAACUGACGCUGAGGCACGAAAGUGCGGGGAUCAAACAGG
rnacentral:rRNA from 1 species